GGGGUGCUCUGGUUCUGUGACCUUGGGCCUGUUUGAUCAUUUGUUGUUGUUGUUGUUGUUUGUUGUUUGUUGGUUUUUUUGGUUUGUUUGUUUGUUCGUUUUUAGAUGGAGUCUCACCCUGUCGCCCAGGCUGGAAUGCAGUAGCACGAUCUCAGCUCACUGCAGCCUUUACAUCGCCGGUUCAAGCCAUUCUCGUGCCUCAGCCUCCUGAGUAGCUGGGAUUACAGGCAUGUGCCACCACGCCCAGCUAAUUUUUGUAUUUUAAGUAGAGACGGGGUUUCGCCAUAUUGGCCAGGCUGGUCUCGAACUCCUGACCUCAAGUGAUCCGCCCACCUCAGCCUCCCAAAGUGCUGGGAUUACAGGCGUAAGCCACUGUGCCCGGCGAUCAUUUGUUAAAUGAGCCCUUUGCACUGGAGGGUUUUUCUGUACUUUUGGUUAGCCUGCCUGAGUAUGUGCAAAUGAGACAGGGAUGAAGACAAGACCUAGUCCACUUUGCAAGGGUGGGAGGGGAGUGUGAGGGUGUAGGGGUUGGGAGGAUGGGAGGCUGGGAGUGAGAUCUUCAUUUUCUUCCAUUGGUGAGAAGAAAAAUCUUCCUCCUUUGCUAUCCUUAUCUCCAACCCUGCCCCAGAAAACCACCUUUCAGGUCAAGGAGUUUCUCCAUGCCAGGAGGGUUUGGAUUCAUCUGCAAAGAGCUUGGGAGGAGGUUUGCAAAUCCAGGAAAAGCCAGAGAAAGGAUCUCAUACAUGAAAGGGAAGGAAGACAUUCCCUACCCAGAACACCCCUGAUUAGCCAGGCCCACCGCCAUCCACAUCUGCUCAGCAAAGAAGGAAGGCAGCUUGUUCCAGACCUUGGUGAGCAGCUGCAGACUGCCUGCCUAGAACAGCCUCCUUACUCCAGCCUGGCAGGGAAGGAAGGAACCUGACUUGCUUCGCAGGAUCUGGAAGCUCAGCCGGCAGAGCUGAGAGCCGCAGUUGCAUCCUGGAGCCUGAUGCUAGAAGCAGCUUCCGUCUUUGGGUUCUUGCUGCCUCGGCCUCUGCUCUGUUCAGUUUGCUGUUGUGUUUUUCUCCCCCAUGUUGGGGUGGUGGGGUACAGGGAAAUAAAAUGUUUUCUCCCAGGCCCCUAAUCCUUCCCCAUGCCUCCAUCAGCCUCAAAGCUGCUGACAGUCAUGAACUGCACCUUCCAGCCCUGCCCAUAAGCUACUCAAAGCAAAUUCAAAUUCUCUUCUGGCCAGGAGGAAGGGCAGAUGCUCCCUCCUUCCUCAAGCCUCCCUGGCUCAUUGAUCCAUUUUGAGGGCAUUUGGGGGUCAAAGUUGAGACCAGAUUGCUUCAGUUUGUAUAAAAUUAGCAUUUCUUAUCAUACCAAGGCCACACCUGUUCUCUGGCCUCACAAACCAGUGAGGAUGUAAAGGUUUGUUGAGGUGGAGGAACAGAAGUGAAAUGAGCAAUCUGCUCCAUUUAGAAGGCAGUCGCUUCAGCUGUUCAUUCCACUAAUAUUUAUCUAGUACCUACUCUGUGCCAAGCAUUGUCUCUACCUCAGUUUGCCACAAAUAUGAAAAAAAAAAAUUCUUGGAACUGUGAGGCUUCAAUGUGUUGUGGACCAAUAUACAAAUAAACCAA
rnacentral:lncRNA from 1 species